UACGUAGGGAGCAAGCGUUGUUCGGAUUUACUGGGCGUAAAGGGCGCGUAGGCGGCGCGGUAAGUCACUUGUGAAAUCUCUGAGCUUAACUCAGAACUGCCAAGUGAUACUGCAGUGCUAGAGUGCAGAAAGGGCAAGCGGAAUUCUUGGUGUAGCGGUGAAAUGCGUAGAUAUCUGGAGGAAUACCGGUGGCGAAGGCGGCAUCCUGGACCGACAUUGACGCUGAACGGCGAAAGCUAGGGGAGCAAACGGG
rnacentral:rRNA from 1 species